rnacentral:ncRNA from 1 species
CUCAAGCCCAAGAACGGAAAGUCUUGGUCCUGAACCUAUCACUAUUUUUUCCCAAAACUAUACAUGCAAGUCUCAACAAAACGGUGAGUAACCCACCAAAUCAGUAAAGAACAAAAGGAGUAAGAUAAGACCCGGGCCAGCCCCCAUCAAAAAUAAAGGAACCCCCCCACACCUACACAGGAAUUCAGCAGUAAUUAACAUUAGGCCAUAAGCGAAAGCUUGACCUAGCUAUAGGAAAGAAAGCCGGUAAAACUCGUGCCAGCUACCGCGGUUAUACGAGAGGCUUAAAAUAGUGCACUUCGGCGAAAACAUGGCCAGAGCACAUCAAAUAGGCCUAAGGAAAAAGGAAAAGCAAGCCGUCCAACGCCAAGAACAAACGAACCCCUUCCCCUUGCCCCAACGACCCCUUAAACCAUAAAAGCCGAGGAACAAACUAGGAUUAGAGACCCUACUAUGCUCGGCCGUGAAAGGCUAAGCCCGCCCGACAAAUACGAGCGAAAGCUUAAAACUCAAAGGACUUGACGGUGCCCCACAUCAGCCUAGAGGAGCCUGUCCUAUAAUCGACACCCCACGUUAAAACCUCACCACCCCUAGCCAAUCAGCCUAUAUACCGCCGUCGUCAGCCCACCCUGCAAAAGAACAAAAGUGGGCAAAAUAGUUCACUACACUAAAACGACAGGUCAAAGCGUAGUACAUGGGGUGGGCUGAGAUGGGCUACAUUUUCUAAAACAGACCACACCAAAAAGCGCAUGAAAAACGCCAAACAGGAGGAUUUAGCAGUAAGACGGAAUAGAAAGCCCGUCUGAACACAGCACUGGGGCACGCACACACCGCCCGUCACCCCCCUCAACCCGCAGCUUAUGUUUCAUAAAAUCAAUGCAAAACUAAGAUGGGGAAAGUCGUAACAAGGUGAGCGUACUGGAAAGUGCGCUCGUGCAC